AACGAACGCUGGCGGCAGGCUUAACACAUGCAAGUCGAGCGCCCCGCAAGGGGAGCGGCAGACGGGUGAGUAACGCGUGGGAAUCUACCUAUCACUACGGAACAACUCCGGGAAACUGGAGCUAAUACCGUAUACGUCCGAGAGGAGAAAGAUUUAUCGGUGAUAGAUGAGCCCGCGUUUGGAUUAGCUAGUUGGUGGGGUAAUGGCCUACCAAGGCGACGAUCCAUAGCUGGUCUGAGAGGAUGAUCAGCCACACUGGGACUGAGACACGGCCCAGACUCCUACGGGAGGCAGCAGUGGGAAUAUUGGACAAUGGGCGAAAGCCUGAUCCAGCCAUGCCGCGUGAGUGAUGAAGGCCUUAGGGUUGUAAAGCUCUUUCACCGGUGAAGAUAAUGACGGUAACCGGAGAAGAAGCCCCGGCUAACUUCGUGCCAGCAGCCGCGGUAAU
rnacentral:rRNA from 1 species